AUUGAACGCUGGCGGCAGGCCUAACACAUGCAAGUCGAGCGGAUGAAGGGAGCUUGCUCCUGGAUUCAGCGGGACGGGUGAGUAAUGCCUAGGAAUCUGCCUGGUAGUGGGGGAUAACGUCCGGAAACGGGCGCUAAUACCGCAUACGUCCUGAGGGAGAAAGUGGGGGAUCUUCGGACCUCACGCUAUCAGAUGAGCCUAGGUCGGAUUAGCUAGUUGGUGGGGUAAAGGCCUACCAAGGCGACGAUCCGUAACUGGUCUGAGAGGAUGAUCAGUCACACUGGAACUGAGACACGGUCCAGACUCCUACGGGAGGCAGCAGUGGGGAAUAUUGGACAAUGGGCGAAAGCCUGAUCCAGCCAUGCCGCGUGUGUGAAGAAGGUCUUCGGAUUGUAAAGCACUUUAAGUUGGGAGGAAGGGCAGUAAGUUAAUACCUUGCUGUUUUGACGUUACCAACAGAAUAAGCACCGGCUAACUGCGU
rnacentral:rRNA from 1 species